GACGAACGCUGGCGGCGUGCUUAACACAUGCAAGUCGAACGGAAAGGCCCUGCUUUUGUGGGGUGCUCGAGUGGCGAACGGGUGAGUAACACGUGAGUAACCUGCCCUUGACUUUGGGAUAACUUCAGGAGACUGGGGCUAAUACCGGAUAGGAGCUCCUGCUGCAUGGUGGGGGUUGGAAAGUUUCGGCGGUUGGGGAUGGACUCGCGGCUUAUGAGCUUGUUGGGGGGGUAGUGGCUUACCACGGCUUUGAAGGGUAGGCGGCCUGAGAGGGUGGACGGGCACAUUGGGACUGAGAUACGGACCAGACGCCAACGUGAGGCAGCAGUGGGGAACAUGGCGCAACGGGCGGAAGCGUGAUGCAGAAAUGCCGCGUGCGGGAUGACGGGCUUUGGGGUGUAAACAGCUGUCGAAGGUGACGAAGCGUGAGUGACGGUAAUGGGUAAAGAAGCACCGGCUAACUACGUG
rnacentral:rRNA from 1 species